AGCGUAUAUUAAAGUUGUUGCAGUUAAAAAGCUCGUAGUUGGAUUUCUGUUAAUAAUUUAUAUAAAAUAUUUUGAUGAAUAUUUAUAUAAUAUUAACAUAAUUCAUAUUACUAUUUUUUUUAGUAUAUGAAAUUUUACUUUGAGAAAAUUAGAGUGCUUAAAGCAGGCAUAUGCCUUGAAUACUCCAGCAUGGAAUAAUAUUAAAGAUUUUUAUCUUUYUUAUUGGUUCUAAGAUAAGAAUAAUGAUUAAUAGGGACAGUUGGGGGCAUUUGUAUUUAACAGUCAGAGGUGAAAUUCUUAGAUUUGUUAAAGACAAACUAAUGCGAAAGCAUUUGCCAAGGAUGUUUUCAUUAAUCAAGAACGAAAGUUAGGGGAUCGAAGACGAUCAGAUACCGUCGUAGUCUUAACCAUAAACUAUGCC
rnacentral:rRNA from 1 species